rnacentral:rRNA from 1 species
AAUGGGGGAAACCCUGAUCCAGCCAUACCGCGUGAGUGAAGAAGGCCUUCGGGUUGUAAAGCUCUUUCAGCCGGAAAGAAAUCGUGCAGGCUAAUACCCUGUAUGGAUGACGGUACCGGAAGAAGAAGCACCGGCUAACUACGUGCCAGCAGCCGCGGUAAUACGUAGGGUGCGAGCGUUAAUCGGAAUUACUGGGCGUAAAGCGUGCGCAGGCGGCUUUUUAAGCCAGAUGUGAAAUCCCCGGGCUUAACCUGGGAACUGCAUUUGGAACUGGAAGGCUAGAGUGUAGCAGAGGGGGGUAGAAUUCCACGUGUAGCAGUGAAAUGCGUAGAGAUGUGGAGGAACACCAAUGGCGAAGGCAGCCCCCUGGGUCGAUACUGACGCUCAUGCACGAAAGCGUGGGUAGCAAA